GACGAACGCUGGCGGCGUGCCUAAUACAUGCAAGUCGAACGCACUCUCGUUUAGAUUGAAGGAGCUUGCUCCUGAUUGAUAAACAUUUGAGUGAGUGGCGGACGGGUGAGUAACACGUGGGUAACCUGCCCUAAAGUGGGGGAUAACAUUUGGAAACAGAUGCUAAAUACCGCAUAAAACCUAACACCGCAUGGUGUAGGGUUGAAAGAUGGUUUCGGCUAUCACUUUAGGAUGGACCCGCGGUGCAUUAGUUAGUUGGUGAGGUAAAGGCUCACCAAGACCGUGAUGCAUAGCCGACCUGAGAGGGUAAUCGGCCACACUGGGACUGAGACACGGCCCAGACUCCUACGGGAGGCAGCAGUAGGGAAUCUUCCACAAUGGACGAAAGUCUGAUGGAGCAACGCCGCGUGAGUGAAGAAGGUUAUCGGAUCGUAAAACUCUGUUGUUGGAGAAGAAUGUAUCUGAUAGUAACUGAUCAGGUAGUGACGGUAUCCAACCAGAAAG
rnacentral:rRNA from 1 species